AGCAGGCUCAAUUUGCAAUAAUCUGAUACUUUCCAAUGGGUGAGGAAAGAGCUUAAGAAUUGCAUUCUCUUCGGGACAAUGAGACUGUACAAUAGUCCGCUGUUUUGCUUUGUUAAAACAAGUAAUGGAAAAUGAUUUCACCAAUUCUUUUUAGGCAUAAGUGUGUCACAGAAGGUUUUUUUUCUAAUAGACUGUUGCUUAGCUGGCCAUAAGUGGCCAGGAAGAAGGUCCUGAAAUUCAGCUACAUAUGAAGAACAGAUGGAUUCCCCAGGUCUGGGCAAGUGAGGAGAUAAGGCUAGAGGAGGGUACUUAGGCAAAAAGCAGCAUGGAGGUAAUAAUAAAUAAGAGUUCACGUGUUAGAAAGUCAUAAUCGUCCUUGGGUGGAGAUCAAUCUUUCCUUGCUUGCUUUUCUGCUUCCUGCUGAGUAUGAAUGGACCAAAGUUUAUAGGAGCCAAUUCCUGGCCUAAAGAAGAUGAGAGAUCUGUGGAUAAUGGCAACAAUCAUGAUAGUAAGUACUUAGCUGAUGACUACUAUGCUUACUAUUCAAAGCAUUUAACAUAUUUUAGCUCAUUAGUCCUCACAGUGACUCUAUGAUAUAGAUGCUAGUAUUAUUUCCAUUUUACAGAUGUAGAAAAUGAAAGAGAGGAAAUAAGAGUUUAUAUUAACUCCUAAGCAUAAUAAAUGGGGGUGCCAGGAUUUGAACAUAGGUAGUCUGUCCCGAGUCCAUGCUCAUAACUUUGUUGCUUGGCAUAUAUUGUCCAACAUAAUUUGGCUUGCCUAUUAAAAUGUUUUUCAGAUGAACCUUCCCUGUGAGUCAACUUGAAAGUAUAAGCCUUGAAAAUACCAGUGCUCUUUCAGGAAGUACCUCUGGCAGCUGGGAAAAUAUGGAAGUAGCCUCUGUGAUUCGAUGGAUGAAUUGGUUCCAUUCUUACUUGCCUGAAGAAUGGUCUUCAAGCCCUUCUGCACGCAUCUUAAGCAUACACGUGGGUAUUCAGAACAUGACCUCUCCUCUGUCAACACAAAAAGAAACAAAAUUAAGGACCUCUCCCAAGUGCUUAGGUAAUCUUUAAGGCUUUUUGUGGGUUUGGGACAUUUUGGGAUCACCUUGGUCUUAUAAACCAAUACAAUUGCUGAGAUGAUUUUCACCAGUGCAGAUGAAUAAUAUCCUAUCUUUGGAAAUGACAGAAUCAAAUAAAAAACACUGAGAUCCACAAAUGAAUUAUUGGCCUAGAACAGGUCCACUUUCUGGAGAGAAUAAGAAAAUAUUAAGAAUUGCAGUAAAGAAUACUGAAGUCUUUUUCUCUCAGGGCUCAUGUGUCUAGGCUGUUGAGAUUUGCUAAGACAUUUCCAGAAGCUGACCCAAAACCUGUAUUUUGGUGUUAGCAUCUGCCAUUCCACAAAUUUACUCCAUCAUCCAGACAAUUCAUACAGCUUGCUCUUCCUUUGUUUAACCUCAUUCCCUCGGCUUGGAACGUGCUCAUUAACUUUAUCCGAGCCAACUCAUCCUUUGGUGACCAGAUAAAUAUACCACCUCCCCAAAGCCUUCCGCCCCAUGCCAGGUCUAAGAGAGACUCGAGCCUCCCAACUCCUGGGGCACUUUUGGUGAUUCCAAUGGUAGUGACGCAAUCUGCUUUGCAUAGGAAUUACAACCAGAAGGCAGGUUUCUUGACAUUAAGAACCAUUUCUCCUUUGUGUUUGUAUCUCUACAAAAUUGAGUAUGGAUUUCUCAGCCAACAUUUAUUGAGAGAUUAAAUUUGAAAUUACGUUAUUGGUUUCUUUUUAGAUUGUUCAUUCAGCAUAUAGAAAUGCUACUGAUUUUUGUACAUUGGUUUUGUAUCCUGCGACUUUACUGAAAUUAUCAGUUCUGAUAGGUUUUUGAUGGAGUCUUUAGGUUUCUCUUAAUGUAUAUGUUGGCAAUGAAAUGAUCAGAUUUCUUCCUUAAACAUAAGCAGUCCUGUAGAGAACAUGAACUGUAGUCUUGUUUCGCUUCCUUUAAUCACGAACUAUUCAUUUGUUUACUCAUGCUUUUAAUAAGCAUUUGAUUGACUUUUAAGGAUGGCACUUAGGGGCCAAAGGGCUUGGCAAUAAGUGGGAAAAGACUGCAG
ensembl:lncRNA